rnacentral:lncRNA from 1 species
GAAACCGUUUCCUCUGGCGUUGACAGAUUUGGGCCAGGAGUGAGAAGUGCAUUCUGAUGUCUAGUGAGAGGAAGGGGAAUUGAGGUGGUGGGAAAAGGACUCACUCAUAAGGAUGGCCUCAGUUUCCCCAGGGCUCUGCAUUGAUGGACUGUUUGUCUCUGCCACUACUAUAGCAGCAACAGAGAUGGCAGGCGGAGGAAGCAGCAAGCCAUUUUCUGCAAGGGCUCAUGCCAAGAGGGCAGAAUUAAGACAAACACUUUCAUUCUUGGCUGCCAAAGCAUUUUAGCUUCUGAACAGUGAGGGAAGCCAAGCCAUCACCGGGAAAGGAAAUAAAUAAAUAAAAGACCCGCUGGUGAGGGAAACUUU